rnacentral:rRNA from 1 species
CCUACGGGGGGCAGCAGUGGGGAAUAUUGCACAAUGGGGGAAACCCUGAUGCAGCGACGCCGCGUGAGUGAAGAAGUAUUUCGGUAUGUAAAGCUCUAUCAGCAGGGAAGAAAAUGACGGUACCUGAUUAAGAAGCCCCGGCUAACUACGUGCCAGCAGCCGCGGUAAUACGUAGGGGGCAAGCGUUAUCCGGAUUUACUGGGUGUAAGGGGAGCGUAGACGGCAGCACAAGUCUGGAGUGAAAUGCCGGGGCUUAACCACGGAACUGCUUUGGAAACUGGGCAGCUAGAGUGCAGGAGAGGGAAGUGGAAUUCCUAGUGUAGCGGUGAAAUGCGUAGAUAUUAGGAGGAACACCAGUGGCGAAGGCGGCUUACUGGACUGUAACUGACGUUGAGGCUCGAAAGCGUGGGGAGCAAACAGGAUUAGAUACCCGGGUAGUC